CUUUCUGAGACCUUUUAAGAUUCCCCUUGGAUAAUCAUUUUACCAAACACAUUGGAAAAGCUUACAGAGAAAACCUGUUCGGGACGGAAGGAAGGAAGGAACUCUUCACGCUGAAAUUUACAUUUGCAGGUCCAGUAUCUGAAACACUCUCCGACAGAAUUCCCCGAUGAAGUCCUGGAUCAUUUUCUUGCUGCUGGCUUCGCUGGCCAUAUACAGUAAUGGGCGCACACGGUUUCGCAUGAUCGAGUUUGAUCAGGCAGGGGAAAAGAAUAUGAUGUACAAGUCUUGCAUAAGGCAAUGUACAAAAGCAUGUGGGCUGUCUGAGUCCUGUCGGAGAGAAACUGACAAGCAGGCGCUGUGCAUGAAUGGUGCAGGCGAUGAUAAGCUUAAGUGGGAAGGCUUUUUGUUUGAUAAUGAAAUGAUCAAAGCAUGCGGUAAAAUUAUCGCACCGAUGAUCAGCCGGCGCGAACCGAAUCCCGAGCCAAGACAGCAUAUGGAUCCAUACGAGCUUUUGCGGCUGAUGGACAUGUAAUAAUCUAAGUUUUUGCCGAGGGAAGACGUUAUCAUGUUCCUUUUUUAAGUAGAAUUAGCGGGGAAAAGCUUGAGAACUUUUAACAGCUCAAGGGGAAUUAGAAAUUAAUCGGAAACCUCUCAUUUUGAAAAAUAACGUCACUUCAAUUUAGUCUUGCUUUUGUUAUAAAAUUGUUAAGGAAUGGAUUGGGCAAAUUCCUUUGUUUACUUUAAGUUGUACUUAUGUUAGACAUACAUGACCAACCUGGAGUCAAGAGCAGUGUUUUGUGGCUCCUAAAAUUAAACUUAGGCCACAUACUAA